rnacentral:rRNA from 1 species
UGCGCCUUGCCAGCCCGCUCAGAAACUUAAAGGAAUUGACCGGGACCCCGCACAAGCGGUGGAUCAUGUUGUUUAAUUCGAUGAUACGCGAAGAACCUUACCAGGUCUUGACAUCCCCCGCGAUGCUUUAGAGAUAAAGCGGAGGUAUUCGGGGAGACAGGUGGUGCAUGGUUGUCGUCAGCUCGUGUCGUGAGAUGUUGGGUUAAGUCCCGCAACGAGCGCAACCCCUAUUGCUAGUUACCAUCAUUAAGUUGGGGACUCUAGCGAGACUGCCAGUGAUAAACUGGAGGAAGGUGGGGAUGACGUCAAAUCAUCAUGCCCCUUAUGACCUGGGCUACAAACGUGAUACAAUGGCUGGAACAAAGGGAUGCGAAGCAGUGAUGUGGAGCGAAACCCAUAAAAACAGUCUCAGUUCGGAUUGAAGUCUGCAACUCGACUUCAUGAAGUCGGAAUCGCUAGUAAUCGCGGAUCAGAACGCCGCGGUGAAUACGUUCCCGGGCCUU